rnacentral:rRNA from 1 species
UACGUAGGGGGCAAGCGUUGUCCGGAAUUACUGGGCGUAAAGGGUGCGUAGGCGGCCAGACAAGUCAGAUGUGAAAUACCCGGGCUUAACCCGGGGGGUGCAUUUGAAACUGUAUGGCUUGAGUGUAGGAGAGGAAAGCGGAAUUCCUAGUGUAGCGGUGAAAUGCAUAGAUAUUAGGAGGAACACCAGUGGCGAAGGCGGCUUUCUGGACUACAACUGACGCUGAUGCACGAAAGCGUGGGGAGCAAACAGGAUUAGAUACCCUGGUAGUCCACGCUGUAAACGAUGGAUACUAGGUGUAGGGGGUAUCGAACCCCCCUGUGCCGGAGCUAACGCAAUAAGUAUCCCGCCUGGGGAGUACGGCCGCAAGGUUGAA